UGAGCGCCCGCCUGCGGCCUGGCCUGGCUGUGGGGAGAGGGCCAUCCCAGGGAGACAACGAUGGCAACCGCGACCUCCCUAGCACGUCCAUCCUUAAUGGCCCAGGCAGUAGAUCCUUGCUUCUCCUCUUCCUCUCCCACCUCCUCCCCAUCAGAUUUUAGUGCUUGAUCUGCUUUACAUCUGCAAAGGGAUGUGGCCUUGAGCAUAUACGGGAGUUUGAUUGAUUUGGUUUUCUUUGGGCUGUGUGUUCCAUCUAGCUAAGAUUUAUGUAUCUAAUGUUUAUGCUCCAUCCAGCUAUUUGCAAUCUUGCAAUUAAGGUUUGUGUAGAAACAUCAAUUAUGUGCUUACCGGUGGCGUAAAUGAACCAAGAAACAUCAGUAGGUAUGGCUUGAGUACAUUUUACUCCAAUUAAAAUAUUAUUCAUUGUUUGCUCUCUAGUGUGAUUUGGUCUUAUGGUCAAGUGUGACAAUUGGGUGGUACCUUUUUGUCCUUUGCAAACAUGUGUGUCAGCUAGAGAAACUAAAACAUAUUUCUUCAGUUUACAUCAAAUGCAUGGAUUUGAUUAUAAGCUUUUACAUGAUCUGUUUCAUAAGUGUCCAUGGUGGAGAUGGUAGCUUUCUGAUGUUUCAGGUCCGAAUGUUGCUAUUGAGAUGUCAUGGCUUGGCCUGAUUGCCUUUUCAUUAAUAUCAGAAUGUUUCUAUUGAGAUUUGUAUUGCCUGCAACUUUGAUUUAAUAUUCUUUAGAAAAUGCCAGCCUGUUCCAUUGACACAAUAAGCUCAUAGUUUAAGGCUUGAAAACUGUAG